rnacentral:rRNA from 1 species
CACGUAAGGGGCGAGCGUUGUUCGGAAUUAUUGGGCGUAAAGGGCACGCAGGCGGCCUGACAAGUCUGGUGUGAAAGAUCCGGGCUCAACUCGGAGAACGCGCUGGAAACUGUCAAGCUAGAGUAUUGGAGGGGGAGUCGGAAUUCCUAGUGUAGGGGUGAAAUCUGUUGAUAUUAGGAAGAACACCGGUGGCGAAGGCGGACUCCUGGCUGGAUACUGACGCUGAGGUGCGAAAGCAUAGGGAGCAAACAGGAUUAGAUACCCUGGUAGUCUAUGCUGUAAACGAUGUGCACUUGGUGUUGGGCCGAUUAGGCUCAGUGCCGUAGCUAACGCGAUAAGUGCACCGCCUGGGGAGUAUGCCCGCAAGGGUGAA